rnacentral:rRNA from 1 species
UACGAAGGGGGCUAGCGUUGCUCGGAAUCACUGGGCGUAAAGGGUGCGUAGGCGGGUCUUUAAGUCAGAGGUGAAAUCCUGGAGCUCAACUCCAGAACUGCCUUUGAUACUGAAGAUCUUGAGUUCGGGAGAGGUGAGUGGAACUGCGAGUGUAGAGGUGAAAUUCGUAGAUAUUCGGCGGAACACCAGUGGCGAAGGCGACUCACUGGCCCGAUACUGACGCUGAGGCGCGAAAGCGUGGGGAGCAAACAGG